GAGCGUUUGAGUGCACGUACAGACACGGGAGAGGUAUGACUCAACUCGUGAAAGUUAAGUGUGUUUCUGUUCUGUUCCUGUCUUGUUCUGCAACUAGAUGUGCCAGGACUCCUAUAUGGCAUGAACAAAAUAAUGGAUUCAAUUACACCUCCUAAGACUAGCACACCAAGGCUGACCUUGCAAGGUUCUCCUCGGUCAACAUCCAGUUCAGGGCCCACCCCUGAUAAGUCCCCAAGUUCUAGGCUCUCUACAGCCACAUCUGCAUCUCCCCCAUUCCAUCACCAACUGUCUCCCAGCCAUCUAAGGUGGAGAUUCAUCCUGGGACUGGAGUCAUGAUUGACAAACUAGCAUGGGCCUAUGCCCUCAAUUCAAAUUCAGCCACUGUGUUUGUGAGGCAUCUCCUCACUGCAGUCUUCCCAUUGGAAAUAUUACUGGUGAGCAAUCUUCGGGGGACCAAAAGAAGUGGAGGAGAUACUCGUCUACCACUGGACAAAAAUAAAUUGGAUGCCAUUUACAGUGCAACUCUUGAGAGGUUUCCAGGGACUCCACUGUCCAUGGAACCACGAUCAAUGCCAAGAUUACCGAGCUCAGAUCUAAAAGUAAAACCUCCACACCUCACAGUUAAACUUCUGCCUUUGGAGCCCAUUUAAUUAGUGUUGAGGGCAUGUUAGUGAGAUUGGCAUGUUAAUUGUAA